rnacentral:rRNA from 1 species
CACGCCCUAAACGAUGAUCACUAGAUUUGGGGAGUAUCGACCCUCUCCGAGUCGUAGCAAACGCGUUAAGUGAUCCGCCUGGGUAGUACGGCCGCAAGGUUGAAACUCAAAGGAAUAGACGGGGACUUGCACAAGCGGUGGAACAUGUGGUUUAAUUCGACGCUAAACGAAGAACCUUACCAGGGUUAGAAAUCCAUUCGAAGACUGGCAGAAACGUCAGUCGCCGCAAGGCGGAUGGACAGGUGC